UGAUUUUUAUAGAGGUACGCAAGACGUUCAAAGCACACUUGAAUUUCUGCCUGUAGAAACUCCCUUCUUGCACUUCUACGAUCUUGACUUGUCCGACCACUUCUUUCUUUAACACCUCUGAAAAUGUCUGGCCCCUCCGACCAUUGUUUUGACUUGAACCUUGGUGAAGAGGCAGUUCCGCCUUCUCCAGACAACAUAUGACGCUCAUUGAUAGGAGCAUAUUUAUGCGACUUAAUUGGCUUGUUCUCGUGCAUUUACGUUGUGUUUCUUAGUUAUUUUAGUGUUUAAAGUCACUUUUGUUUGUUUUCAGAUUCCAAGGACAAAGUGUGCAAAAUGAUGUAAUUUGGAGCCUUUUGGAGCAAAAGGAAUGGAUGAAUUGAAGACUUGAAGAAAUUAGGAUUCCUAAUCAACGAAGGAUUCCUAAUCAACCAAGGAUUCCUAAUCAACGAAGGAUUCCUAAUCGACGAAGGAUUCCUAAUUGAAGAUGGAUUCCUAAUCACAUGAGGAUUCCUAGAAGAACAAGGAUUCCUACUCCAAGAAGGAUUCCUACUUGAACUAGGAAAGUUAAGCCAAGGUUUCCUACUUUGGUUUGACCUUUCCUAAAUGUUCCUAAGUUUUAUCAACUUUGAAGGCAUCCUAAGCAUUCUAGGACAACAAAUACACAUCCCUUGCACAUUAUGAACCCUUGCUGCACCCCCUUGACAUUUCUUCUUCCUUGCCGUGCAAGGGAGAGGGUACUUUCCUGAUUCUAUGCAUUAAAACACAUUCCUAAUGUGUUUUAAUACCUUGCCGCAUAUACCUUGCCUUUUCCUUUAAUUUUCUGAUUUUGUUUCCUAUUUCUAGAAGCCUUAGACUUAAUUUCUGAUUACCUAAAUAACCUAGGGUUUUAAUUUCUGAAAUCCUUUAAAUAAACUCCCUUUGUGCAGCCACGAAUCAUCGAUAGACUCACCAUUCACGCCAGAAAUCACAUACCACCUCUAGCCGCACCAUUCUAUCACCAUUCAUCCUAGUUUCUGCCCAGAAACCACCCUAGCCGACCCUACAUCUAUCCUAACCUCAAUUCCAUCCUUCUACAUCAUCCACAACUCCCCAAAUUCAACCCUAACCCUUGUAUCGCAACAAAGGAUAGGAAGAAGAAGUACUUGGAAGUUCUAGCUGUUCAACAUUGAAUCGUUGGAAUAUUUAGGUGUUCUCUUUCUUAUAUUUACAAUGUAUCAAUCUGUUUUCCUUUGUUUUGUGAACAUGAGGAACUAAGCCUUUUUGGCUAGGGGGUUAUUCAAUACCAUGAUGAUACUUGCAAGAUGAAUUGAUUACGUCUAAUUGUUAUUUCAUGAAUUGUGAAUGCAAUUUGCUUAACCGUUUGAUUGAUGACUUAUUUUUGUGUGUUGAU
rnacentral:lncRNA from 1 species